GAUGAACGCUGGCGGCGUGCCUAAUACAUGCAAGUAGAACGCUGAAGGAGGAGCUUGCUCUUCUGGAUGAGUUGCGAACGGGUGAGUAACGCGUAGGUAACCUGCCUGGUAGCGGGGGAUAACUAUUGGAAACGAUAGCUAAUACCGCAUGACAACAGUUAUUGCAUGAUAACUGUUUAAAAGGGGCAACUGCUCCACUACCAGAUGGACCUGCGUUGUAUUAGCUAGUUGGUGAGGUAACGGCUCACCAAGGCGACGAUACAUAGCCGACCUGAGAGGGUGAUCAGCCAAACUGGGACUGAGACACGGCCCAGACUCCUACGGGAGGCAGCAGUAGGGAAUCUUCGGCAAUGGAAGGAAGUCUGACCGAGCAACGCCGCGUGAGGGAAGAAGGGUUUCGGAUCGUAAAGCUCUGUUGUAAGAGAAGAACGAGUGUGAGAGUGGAAAGUUCACACUGUGACGGUAUCUUACCAGAAAGGGACGGCUAACUACGUG
rnacentral:rRNA from 1 species